rnacentral:snRNA from 10 species
UUGCUUUGGCAGCACAUAUACUGAAAUUGGAAUGAUAUAGAGAAGAUUAGCAUGGUCCCUGC